AUUGAACGCUGGCGGCAUGCCUUACACAUGCAAGUCGAACGGCAGCACGGGUGCUUGCACCUGGUGGCGAGUGGCGAACGGGUGAGUAAUACAUCGGAACAUGUCCUGUAGUGGGGGAUAGCCCGGCGAAAGCCGGAUUAAUACCGCAUACGAUCCACGGAUGAAAGCGGGGGACCUUCGGGCCUCGCGCUAUAGGGUUGGCCGAUGGCUGAUUAGCUAGUUGGUGGGGUAAAGGCCUACCAAGGCGACGAUCAGUAGCUGGUCUGAGAGGACGACCAGCGACACUGGGACUGAGACACGGUCCAGACACGUACGGGAGGCAGCAGUGGGGAAUUUUGGACAAUGGGCGAAAGCCUGAACCAGCAAUGCCGCGUGAGUGAAGAAGGCCUUCGGGUUGUAAAGCACUGUUGUCCGGAAAGAAAACCUUGACUCGAAUAAAGGCGGGGGAUGACGGUACCGGAAGAAUAAGCACCGGCUAACUACGUG
rnacentral:rRNA from 1 species